rnacentral:rRNA from 1 species
GACGGAGGGGGCAAGCGUUGUUCGGAAUCAUUGGGCGUAAAGGGCUCGUAGGCGGACUUGUAAGUCUGGCGUGAAAUCUCCACCGCUCACCGGGGAGAGGUCGCUGGAUACUGCAAGUCUUGAGUUCGGUAGAGGAUUGUGGAAUUUCGGGUGUAGCGGUGGAAUGCGUAGAUAUCCGAAAGAACACCGGUGGCGAAGGCGGCAAUCUGGGCCUGAACUGACGCUGAGGAGCGAAAGCUAGGGGAGCAAACGGG